rnacentral:rRNA from 1 species
UACGUAGGGUGCGAGCGUUGUCCGGAUUUAUUGGGCGUAAAGAGCUCGUAGGCGGCUCGGUAAGUCGGGUGUGAAACCUCCAGGCUCAACCUGGAGACGCCACCUGAUACUGCUGUGGCUAGAGUCCGGUAGGGGAGUGUGGAACUCCUGGUGUAGCGGUGAAAUGCGCAGAUAUCAGGAAGAACACCAGCGGCGAAGGCGGCACUCUAGGCCGGAACUGACGCUGAGACGCGAAAGCGUGGGGAGCAAACAGG